rnacentral:rRNA from 1 species
UGAGGAAUCUUGCGCAAUGGGGGCAACCCUGACGCAGCAACGCCACGUGAGUGAGGAAGGCUUUCGGGUCGUAAAGCUCUGUCGGAUGGAAAGAAACGGAUGCGGGUUAAUAGCCCUCAUCCCUGACGGUACCAUCAGAGGAAGCACCGGCUAACUCCGUGCCAGCAGCCGCGGUAAUACGGGGGGUGCAAGCGUUGUUCGGAAUCAUUGGGCGUAAAGCGCGUGUAGGCGGCUUGGUAAGUCAGGUGUGAAAGCCCUGGGCUCAACCCAGGAAGUGCACUUGAAACUGCCUUGCUUGAGUACGGGAGAGGAAAGCGGAAUUCCUGGUGUAGAGGUGAAAUUCGUAGAUAUCAGGAGGAACACCGGUGGCGAAGGCGGCUUUCUGGCCCAAUACUGACGCUGAGACGCGAAAGCGUGGGGAGCAAACAG